GCAGGCUUAGCUCAGCUGGGAGAGCGUCAGACUGAAGUCCACUUCUAGUCCAAGACAUCUGAAGGUCGUGUGUUCGAUCCACACAGGCUGCA
rnacentral:tRNA from 1 species